rnacentral:rRNA from 1 species
GACGAACGCUGGCGGCGUGCCUAACACGUGCAAGUCAACUUGAGGGAAGGAGCAAUCUGACCUGAUGGUGGCGCAAGGGUGCGUAACGCGUAAGUAACUUGCCCCAAGGUAAGGAAUAACGUCGAGAAAUCGGCGCUAAUACCUCAUAAUGCAGCGGAUCCGCAUGGAUAUGUUGUUAAAGGUUUACCGCCUUGGGAUAGGCUUGCGUCUGAUUAGCUAGUUGGUGUGGUAAUGGCACACCAAGGCUACGAUCAGUAACUGGUCUGAGAGGAUGAUCAGUCACACUGGAACUGAGACACGGUCCAGACUCCUACGGGAGGCAGCAGUGAGGAAUAUAGGGCAAUGCACGAAAGUGUGACCCAGCAACGCCGCGUGGAGGAUGAAGGUAUUCUAUAUCGUAAACUCCUGUGAGAGCAGACGAAAGACAGAUUAUAAUUUGGAUGACUGUAUGCUCAGAGGAAGCCCCGGCUAAC